rnacentral:lncRNA from 1 species
UUUUUUUCUGUUUUUCUGUUUUUUUUUCACUGUUCUAGGAGUUGCUUUAAGCUGAACACUGCAGGAUUUAUAACCAGAUAUUUGCUGCCUUUUCCUUUGUUUUAUUUCUUUAAGUCUUUCCUAACCUUUGAGGGUAACUUUUGGAGCAUUCUGAUUGUGGAUCUUGGCCUGCUGUUGGAAGCCUCCAGGCCUCUUGUAUUUCCAGUUUGAGUUGAAAAGUUUUUGUUUUGUUUGUUUGCUUAAACUGAUGACACAAACUAGAUGCGCGGACUUUGGGUGAGAUUUGCUGUUGCUCUACUUUGUGUGACUUAUUCUCCUUUUUUUACAGAAAUGUGUUCUAACAGUUCACACUUUGUUACUGUUCUUUGCAAAACUUUUCAGGAGCCAAAAAAAGUCAAACAAUCCAGAGAAAACCUUCCCUUCUCCCCUUUCUGAUGGCGAGAGUGAGAACUUAUGAAAAGUCCUUGAGAAUGUUCCUUCCUAAACUUUUCCCCUCAGUAAUGCAAGCGGGUAAAAUGGUAAAUGCAGCAGUUUGGUGACAUCCAAACCCGACCUGUUGUCAGAGUAAUAAAACUGGUAGGUGGCAGCAGCAGUAGAAGAAACUCAUGUGACUGACCUGGGAAACCUCCGGUACUGUGAAAAAUGGAUUGCAAAAUCUUAACUGAAGUAAGGGGGACGGAGGAGAGAGGCAGAGUCCCUGAACUGUCCCUUUGAAUGAUGUCCUGUUUAUGGUGGAAGCAGUGAUACUACUGACCUCCCUUGAUGCUUAGUUUAUCUGUGUCAUAAAAUGCUUUAAUUUUGGGAAGAAAGGAACUGGAGAGGUAUGGAGGUAUGGAGGAAAACAGUGCUACAUGGACUAAUCAGGAAGGUGCUGUGAAGCAAAGAGAGAAGACAAAGCAGUAGCUGUGUAUGCAGGAAUGUAAUGCUUGUGAAAGAUGCUGGACCAACAAUUGCAGAGAUUGAACUCCUCUACCCACAGGAAAGGUUUUUCUACACCACAGGAGGUCUUCUCUUGUACAGGGACACUUAUCUCUUGAUACCACCUCCUUCACAAUGAAGAAAGGAUGGACCAGCAGCAAUGUGGAAUGGGGUGAUGUCCACACUUGGGGUUAACAGUCAUAAUAAACACUGUGCUGCUAACAUGGAGAAAUGAAUAAAACAAUUUAAUUC